rnacentral:ncRNA from 9 species
GACCCUGUUGAGCUUGACUCUAGU